GACAGAGGGUGCAAACGUUGUUCGGAAUUACUGGGCGUAAAGCGAGUGUAGGCGGUCUGCUAAGUCGGGUGUGAAAGCCCUGGGCUCAACCCAGGAAGUGCACUCGAAACUGGCAGGCUAGAGUGCUGGAGAGGUUGGUGGAAUUCUCGGUGUAGAGGUGAAAUUCGUAGAUAUCGGGAGGAACACCAGUGGCGAAGGCGGCGAUCUGGGAAGAUACUGACGCUGAGGUGCGAAAGCGUGGGGAGCAAACAGG
rnacentral:rRNA from 1 species